AGAAGAUGCAAAACGCCAAAACCGUGCAGUCGGAGGUAUUGUCGCUUCGUCAGCUGCAGUUCAGUUAGACAUAGAUUUAAGCAAUGCAGAAGCUGUACAUAGUCGGGCGAUGCUUGCGAU
rnacentral:rRNA from 1 species